ACGCGUGGAACCUUACCAGGUCUUGACAUCCUCUGACACUCCUAGAGAUAGGACGUUCCCCUUCGGGGGACAGAGUGACAGGUGGUGCAUGGUUGUCGUCAGCUCGUGUCGUGAGAUGUUGGGUUAAGUCCCGCAACGAGCGCAACCCUUGAUCUUAGUUGCCAGCAUUAAGUUGGGCACUCUAAGGUGACUGCCGGUGACAAACCGGAGGAAGGUGGGGAUGACGUCAAAUCAUCAUGCCCCUUAUGACCUGGGCUACACACGUGCUACAAUGGAUGGUACAAAGGGCAGCAAAGCGGCGACGCCUAGCAAAUCCCAUAAAACCAUUCUCAGUUCGGAUUGUAGGCUGCAACUCGCCUACAUGAAGCUGGAAUCGCUAGUAAUCGCGGAUCAGCAUGCCGCGGUGAAUACGUUCCCGGGCCUUGCACUCACCGCCCGU
rnacentral:rRNA from 1 species